CGGCCCACAGGCAGAAGCACGAUCCUUGGCCACGCUGCUGGCAUUGAUUGGUGCUUGCAUCAUGAUUUACAUUUGAGUGAGUGGCGAACUGGUGAGUAACACGUGGGAAACCUGCCCAGAAGCGGGGGAUAACACCUGGAAACAGAUGCUAAUACCGCAUAACAACUUGGACCGCAUGGUCCGAGUUUGAAAGAUGGCUUCGGCUAUCACUUUUGGAUGGUCCCGCGGCGUAUUAGCUAGAUGGUGAGGUAACGGCUCACCAUGGCAAUGAUACGUAGCCGACCUGAGAGGGUAAUCGGCCACAUUGGGACUGAGACACGGCCCAAACUCCUACGGGAGGCAGCAGUAGGGAAUCUUCCACAAUGGACGAAAGUCUGAUGGAGCAACGCCGCGUGAGUGAAGAAGGGUUUCGGCUCGUAAAACUCUGUUGUUAAAGAAGAACAUAUCUGAGAGUAACUGUUCAGGUAUUGACGGUAUUUAACCAGAAAGCCACGGCUAACUACGUGCCAGCAGCCGCGGUAAUACGUAGGUGGCAAGCGUUGUCCGGAUUUAUUGGGCGUAAAGCGAGCGCAGGCGGUUUUUUAAGUCUGAUGUGAAAGCCUUCGGCUCAACCGAAGAAGUGCAUCGGAAACUGGGAAACUUGAGUGCAGAAGAGGACAGUGGAACUCCAUGUGUAGCGGUGAAAUGCGUAGAUAUAUGGAAGAACACCAGUGGCGAAGGCGGCUGUCUGGUCUGUAACUGACGCUGAGGCUCGAAAGUAUGGGUAGCAAACAGGAUUAGAUACCCUGGUAGUCCAUACCGUAAACGAUGAAUGCUAAGUGUUGGAGGGUUUCCGCCCUUCAGUGCUGCAGCUAACGCAUUAAGCAUUCCGCCUGGGGAGUACGGCCGCAAGGCUGAAACUCAAAGGAAUUGACGGGGGCCCGCACAAGCGGUGGAGCAUGUGGUUUAAUUCGAAGCUACGCGAAGAACCUUACCAGGUCUUGACAUACUAUGCAAAUCUAAGAGAUUAGACGUUCCCUUCGGGGACAUGGAUACAGGUGGUGCAUGGUUGUCGUCAACUCGUGUCGUGAGAUGUUGGGUAAAGUCCCGCAACGAGCGCAACCCUUAUUAUCAGUUGCCACCAUUAGGUUGGGCACUCCGGUGAGACUGCCGGGGGAAAAACUGCAGAAAGGUGGGGAUGACGUCAAAUCAUCAUGCCCCUUAUGACCCGGGCUACACACGUGCUACAAUGGAUGGUACAACGAGUUGCGAACUCGCGAGAGUAAGCUAAUCUCUUAAAGCCAUUCUCAGUUCGGAUUGUAGGCUGCAACUCGCCUACAUGAAGUCGGAAUCGCUAGUAAUCGCGGAUCAGCAUGCCGCGGUGAAUACGUUCCCGGGCCUUGUACACACCGCCCGUCACGCCAUGAGAGUUUGUAACACCCAAAGUCGGUGGGGUAACCUUUUAGGCGUCCAGCCGCAUAAGUUGGUCCAGGAUCAUGCUGGAUC
rnacentral:rRNA from 1 species